rnacentral:rRNA from 1 species
GAUGAACGCUAGCUACAGGCUUAACACAUGCAAGUCGAGGGACCGGCGCACGGGUGAGUAACACGUAUCCAACCUGCCCUUUACUCGGGGAUAGCCUUUCGACAGAAAGAUUAAUACCAGAAAUAAAGGAUGGGGAUGCGUUCCAUUAGGUUGUUGGUGAGGUAACGGCUCACAAAGCCGUCUAUGGAUAGGGGUUCUGAGAGGAAGGUCCCCCACAUUUGAACUGAGGCCCGGUCCAAACUGCUACGGGAGGCAGGGGUGAGGAAUAUUAGUCAAUGGGCGCUAGCCUGAACCAGCCAAGUAGCGUGAAGAAUGUAGGCUUAUGAGUCGUCAACUUCUUUUAUAUAAGAAGAUGUAUUAAAUGAAUAAGGAUCGGCUAACUCCGUGCCAGCAGCCGCGGUAAUUC